UGUGCUUCAACUCGCCGCGCUCCCAGAACUUGACACGAUCAGACAUGUAGGAUAAUGAUCCAGCUCUUACUGGGCCUCGGCCCGUGUCCCCAUCAGCUCCUUCGACGUCGGGCGCGCGACAGGCCGCUAUCCGCUGCUCAGCAUUUGCUUCUUCCCGGAUAGGAUCACGAAGUGGUGUGGUGAGAUGCGACAAGUUCUUCGGAUGAUCUUCGACAAGCUUUAACAGGCAAGCAUUUCCCCUAUACUCCUGCCCCUGCAGAAGUCGCUCACCUAUUUUAUUUUGCCUUCUCCCUCAU